rnacentral:rRNA from 1 species
CCUACGGGUGGCAGCAGUCGAGAAUCAUUCACAAUGGGGGAAACCCUGAUGGUGCGACGCCGCGUGGGGGAAUGAAGGUCUUCGGAUUGUAAACCCCUGUCAUGUGGGAGCAAAUUAAAAAGAUAGUACCACAAGAGGAAGAGACGGCUAACUCUGUGCCAGCAGCCGCGGUAAUACAGAGGUGUCAAGCGUUGUUCGGAAUCACUGGGCGUAAAGCGUGCGUAGGCUGUUUCGUAAGUCGUGUGUGAAAGGCGCGGGCUCAACCCGCGGACGGCACAUGAUACUGCGGGACUAGAGUGAUGGAGGGGGAACCGGAAUUCUCGGUGUAGCAGUGAAAUGCGUAGAUAUCGAGAGGAACACUCGUGGCGAAGGCGGGUUCCUGGACAUUAACUGACGCUGAGGCACGAAGGCCAGGGGAGCGAAAGGGAUUAGAUACCCCAGUAGUC